rnacentral:rRNA from 1 species
UACGUAGGGUGCGAGCGUUGUCCGGAAUUACUGGGCGUAAAGCGCUCGUAGGUGGUUUGUCGCGUCGUCUGUGAAAUUCCGAGGCUUAACUUCGGGCGUGCAGGCGAUACGGGCAGGCUUGAGUGCUGUAGGGGAGACUGGAAUUCCUGGUGUAGCGGUGGAAUGCGCAGAUAUCAGGAAGAACACCGAUGGCGAAGGCAGGUCUCUGGGCAGUUACUGACACUGAGGAGCGAAAGCAUGGGGAGCGAACAGG